AUGAGGGGUGUCACAGGGUAUGACUAUAUAGGUCUUGUACAGGAGAAACAGGCGCAUCUUUUGCGCAAGGUAUCGAAGGGCGCUAUGUUCAAAAAUCUGAAACUAGAGCUCAAAAUUAAAAAAAAAAAAUGUUAAAAACAGGGGGGUUGGCCUAUUCCAUGGCUUCUAGAGAAAAAUAAUGAGGGGUGUCACAGGACAUGACUAUAUAAGUCUUGUAGAGGAGAAACAUGCGCAUCUUUUGCGCAAGGUAUCGAAGGGCGCUAUGUUCAAAAAUCUGAAACUAGAGCUCAAAAUUAAAAAAAAAAUGUUAAAAACAGGGGGUUGGCGUAUUCCAUGGCUUCUAGAGAAAAAUAAUGAGGGGUGUCACGGGGUAUGACUAUAUAGGUCUUGAAGAGGAGAAACAGGCGCAUCUUUUGCGCAAGAUAUCGAAGGGCGCUAUGUUCAAAAAUCUGAAACUAGAGCUCAAAAUUUGAAAAAAAGUGGUUGAAAACAGGGGAGUUGGCCUAUUUCAUGGCUUCUAGAGAAAAAUAAUGAGGGGUGUCACGGGGUAUGACUAUAUAGGUCUUGUAGAGGAGAAACAGGCGCAUCUUUUGCGCAAGGUAUCGAAGGGCGCUAUGUUCAAAAAUCUGGAACUAGAGCUCAAAAUAAAAAAAAAAUUGUUAAAAACAGGGGGGUUGGCCUAUUCCAUGGCUUCUAGAGAAAAAUAAUGAGGGGUGUCACGGGAUAUGACUAUAUAGGUCUUGUAGAGGAGAAACAGGCGCAUCUUUUGCGCAAGGUAUCGAAGGGCGCUAUGUUCAAAAAUCUGAAACUAGAGCUCAAAAUAAAAAAAAAAUUGUUAAAAACAGGGGGGUUGGCCUAUUCCAUGGCUUCUAGAGAAAAAUAAUGAGGGGUGUCACGGGAUAUGACUAUAUAGGUCUUGAAGAGGAGAAACAGGCGCAUUUUUUGCGCAAGGUAUUGAAGGGCGCUAUGUUCAAAAAUCUGAAACUAGAGCUCAAAAUUUAAAAAAAAAAUGUUAAAAACAGGGGGGUUGGCCUAUUCCAUGGCUUCUAGUU